UACGUAGGGGGCUAGCGUUGUCCGGAAUCAUUGGGCGUAAAGCGCGUGUAGGCGGCCCGGUAAGUCCGCUGUGAAAGUCGGGGGCUCAACCCUCGGAUGCCGGUGGAUACUGUCGGGCUAGAGUGCGGAAGAGGCGAGUGGAAUUCCUGGUGUAGCGGUGAAAUGCGCAGAUAUCAGGAGGAACACCAAUUGCGAAGGCAGCUCGCUGGGACGUUACUGACGCUGAGACGCGAAAGCGUGGGGAGCAAACAGG
rnacentral:rRNA from 1 species